rnacentral:lncRNA from 1 species
GAGUCACAGGCACCUGCAGGUGCCAAGGUGCUCCUGGGCCCUGUAGAUCCAGAGGGUAGAACGCAGCCCCUGAUCUCAUGGAUGCGGGGGUGGGGGACAGGAUAAACCACUAAAUGUACCUAAGACACGUGCACAGGUUCAGCAGCCAAGGGACAAAGCAGCUAGGUGGCGGGUGGUGAGCCAGGGCAGCCUCAGCUCCAGGGGCCCCUCCAGGGCCUCAGGUGAGGGAGGAGCCGGCUCUGGGAGCUCAGAGGCCUGGGCAGCCGUGAGACGCCCCCUCCAGGGGCUGGGCCACAUCACCUAGGCUCUCUCACUGCCUGAACCCACAGUCCUGGGUACAGAAUCCUGGGCCAUCACGGAACCUUCCUCGAGUGAGUUUUUCUGCCAAGACCAGAAAGCUCAUGACACCCAUGUGAUGGAAGCAAGAACCUGAAUGGCAGCCAUAGUCUUCAUCCUCUGAGGCUCAGUCCCCCUGGGCUGCCAAGUUUAGACUGCGACAGCGUGCAUUGGUACCCGUCCUCCAGUGCAGGCGCUGUUAACAUUGUCCACUGUUCCUUUAACCAGAAGGCUUAGGACCAGCACAGUCAUGGAAGCCAGCGUUUAUCAAGCACUUACUACAUGCCUGGCACUGUUCUGAGUGGUGUGCAUAGAUGAAUGCAGGUCACCCUCACCAUCCUGUGCGGGGGCGACUGUGAUGCUUCUCAUUUCACAGAGGGGGUAACAGAGACACAGAGAAGGGGAGCCAUUUUCAGAAGUCACACAGAGCUCAACCAGAUCUGCCCCACUACAAGAUGACAAAGUUCCUACUGGAUUCUUCCUGCACCUAGUUGCUAUAUCUGUAAUGCAAAGCUAAAUGACUUGGUCACAGUCACCUCAGCUCAGGGGCAGCAGACAUAGGACAGAAGUCCAGGCUCUGUUUCUUCCUCCAACACCCAACGACCCACCCUCAAAUCACUUCUCUGAGCAUCUCACACAUAGUAGAACCUGGCGACGCCUCUGAUGUUUUCAGAGGCAUUUUCAUUUGACCCCAUCUCCCUGGAGACACCGGGCAGAAAUAGACACACAUGGCUGCCACGCCAGCCUUGCUCUCCCCACAGCUGGGCAAGGAGGCCUCUGCUGGCUAGGUGAAGGCCCCGAGGCGACUGCAACCAGCAGGAAAC